rnacentral:lncRNA from 1 species
AAGAAAGGCAGAAUUAAUUGGCUGUGGAAGAGAAACCUAUAUUCAGCUGCAGCAGUGCCCUUGCAGAGAAGUGAUUUUCAAUGGGCUCACUUAACACUAUUUUAAUUGUUUUAAAAUGUUUCUAUGGGCUUUUGGAGGUCAGAAGCUGCUAAGUACUGAAGUCUUCCCCAGGGCUGUAGUCUGCGGGUUGGACAAAGGAAACCUGGAGAUUGUGAAAGGGAGCCUGGGAUGAACAGAAAUGAGGAAGACUUCAUGAAACGGCUUCUACAUUGGAACAUGAGAUUUGGGGUAGUCUACAUCUGUUCAUGGGCAUGAUCAUUUCAAAUGGCUCCAAAAUAAACUGUCUUUUAUUCCCUUUAA